CCUACGGGAGGCAGCAGUGGGGAAUUUUGGACAAUGGGGGCAACCCUGAUCCAGCCAUGCCGCGUGCGGGAAGAAGGCCUUCGGGUUGUAAACCGCUUUUAGCUGGGAAGAAAAGGCACGGGCCAAUACCCCGUGUUCUUGACGGUACCGGCGGAAUAAGCACCGGCUAACUACGUGCCAGCAGCCGCGGCAAUACGUAGGGUGCGAGCGUUAAUCGGAAUUACUGGGCGUAAAGCGUGCGUAGGCGGUUCGUUGUGUCUGCCGUGAAAGCCCCGGGCUCAACCUGGGAAUGGCGGUGGAAACUGGCGAGCUGGAGUGUGGCAGAGGGGGGUGGAAUUCCAGGUGUAGCAGUGAAAUGCGUAGAGAUCUGGAGGAACACCGAUGGCGAAGGCAGCCCCCUGGGCUGACACUGACGCUGAGGCACGAAAGCGUGGGGAGCAAACAGGAUUAGAUACCCUGGUAGUCCACGCCCUAAACGAUGGCAACUGGGUGUUGGGGGAGCGAUUCCUCAGUACCGUAGCUAACGCGUGAAGUUGCCCGCCUGGGGAGUACGGCCGCAAGGUUAAAACUCAAAGGAAUUGACGG
rnacentral:rRNA from 1 species